rnacentral:lncRNA from 1 species
AAAUACCAUCUUCAGAGUUUGAUCCGAACUAGCAUCGUACAAGAUAUGCAUCCUUGUUAUGGGACUAUGGUGUGAACAAGGCACGCACUGGAUAUAUUAGUGACAAUCAGGAUCCGUCUAGGUCUAAAUGCACCUUCAUUCGGUCUAAGGAUACAGAGAUAAUUGAUGUUGAACCGUAGUUGUCUAGUAUUUAUUGUGUGACAAAAGGAUAUUGGUUACUUAUGCUUGUGGAAUUCUAGUUUUUCAGUUUUUUAAUGUUUG